UGAGAGGAGCUGUCCUUAGUACGAGAGGACCGGGAUGGACGCACCGCUGGUGUACCAGUUGUUCUGCCAAGGGCAUCGCUGGGUAGCUAUGUGCGGACGGGAUAAGUGCUGAAAGCAUCUAAGCAUGAAGCCCCCCUCAAGAUGAGAUUUCCCAUUCCGUAAGGAAGUAAGAUCCCUGAAAGAUGAUCAGGUUGAUAGGUCUGAGGUGGAAGUGUGGCGACACAUGGAGCUGACAGAUACUAAUCGAUCGAGGACUUAACCA
rnacentral:rRNA from 1 species